AGCUUUGCACAGUGGCAGUAUCGUAGCCAAUGAGGUUUAUCCGAGGUGUGAUUAUUGCUAAUUGAAAACUUUUCCCAAUACCCCGCCAUGACGACUUGAAAUAUAGUCAGCAUGGGCAAUUUUUGACAGUCUCUACGGAAA
ensembl:snRNA U4 U4 spliceosomal RNA